GAUCCUGUGAAGCAUGAGCUCACCAAGCAUAUUGGUGUUGAUGCUUUUUAUGUGCGCGCUGCUGUGCAGGAUCAGGUUAUUGCUCUUCAGUAUGUGCCUUCCGAGUUACAGUUGGCGGAUUUCCUGACGAAGGCCCAGACUAAAGCGCAACAUGGCUUUUAUCUCUCCAAACUCAGUGUUGUUCCUCCACCAUGAGUUUGAGGGGGGGUGUUAGAGUUAUAAUAUAGGUCAUGUACCCCUUUAUAUUUACCCCGUUGUAUAAGGGGUUUCCUGCAUAUGUUCCACACCUGUACAUGUAUAUAUAUCGGCCUAUGGCCUCAUGGGAAUACAAGUUGCUUAUUCCUAACAUUGACAUUUAUUCAGAGCACAUACAAGUAGUAUUUCUACCGCUUAGGAAUUUUGUGGAAUUAGUUUUAGUAUUUAUUGAAGAGCAACUUAGUGAAGGAUUAUAGGAUGUUAAAAUUUCACCUAACGAAAAAAAUAUAAGUGUCAGACUGACAAGAUGAUAAGGCAACAUAAAUUUUAGUGUGAUUUAUUGGAAGAACUUUGACCGGUUGGAUGAUUCAAUUUGGUUAGUUGGUUAUGCAGUUUAUAAGUCACCCAUGGGUGUGUUUGUUGCAAAACUUGCACAAUCAUUCUAUGGCGCCAACCACCAAUACCAUGCUCCUCCAGAGUUAAGCCCACUUCGUGAUGCAUAAUUAUUAUUUUUGAUGUUGCUGAUACCCUUUCCCGUGGACACCUCUGCCAGAUCCGUUGCUGCUACAGAACCCAACUCCUGAGCACGUCGGAGUUGAGCGAGAAGACGGGAGGAGGUGUCGAGGAGGAAGAGGCCCCUCUUCCUUUUUGGUCCACGCCGCUACGGAAGUGAUAUUAGGGUAUUGCACUGAGCUGGAAGAGGAUGCUGGCCAGCGCCCCACCUCUCUUUCGACAUAAUAAACUGAUGUAAAAACUUACCUUGGGAACAUUCAUAAAUAUGACCAUUCAAAUUCCUCAGAGCGACUUUGUUCUAACCAUACAUAGCAGAACUUAGUUGCCUUUCCAGACUUCUGCAGAAAUUUAAGUGCAAUGUAUCAUCAAGGAUCAUUGAAUCCAGUUGUUUGAUUUCUUUUGUAUAACAAGAGCUUGAGUUGUCGCCCUAUCUGUGGCGGUAUCAUGGUUUGCUUGACUCAAUUUUGACAAGCAGUUCAAAAUUAAGUAUGGUCGCUUGAAGCAUUCUUUGUGAUACGAGCUGCAAUCGAGUUUCACGUUUUGUUCUACUCAACUCGGCCUUUUCCAGAUAUCUUAGCUUUGGCUUUAUGUGGGCACACUACUGUUACUCUUUUUAUAUGGCAAUACUAAGGAGAUUGAAGUAUUCGUAACACAUGUGUUUUCUGUCGUGCAGUGAACUUGUUAUACUCUUUCUGGUUCAAUGGAACUUACUUACGCACAUUAGGGCUUUUACUUUAGCUGGUGAGUGUUUGUGAGCGAGAUGACUGUCGCUUCCGCAUGGAUCCACCUCCUAGCCGUUGACCACUUCAUUGGAAGGCACGUGUAACCUUGAUGGGCAAAUAUGGUGAAGACUUGAAGUUGAUAUACUAAUGUGAUAUAUGAAGCUAUAUUCAAGGGCGUCACACAGGUUUGGAAUCUUCAUUCACAUCUGCACCUCACUUGUUACCUGUGUUCUUGCUUCAGUCAUUUUUUUGUAAUCAUAUUCCUAUAUACUGGGCAUCAUUCUGUAUUGCCAGUGCUUUCUAUUAAUCACCAUUUUAAGAAUCAUUGCUUGAUAUACUGGUCUUUUAUAUGUACCAUCUUAUUUAUCAUCUGAAUUACCUUUUGUCUGAUGUAGCACUACAAUUGGUUUACUGUACAUUGAUUUAUAUCUGAAAACUUUAAUUAUGCUUUGUUUUAUAUUUCCAGUUCUUUCAAUCAAUCACCUUUGUAAGACCCACUGCUUGACCCAUUUGAUACUGAGAUCUCAGAGCAUAUUUUACAUUUCUUUUUUCUCAUGUACUCUCUCCGUCCCAAAAUAAGUGACUUACUGUACAUUGCUAUAUAUCUGAAUUUUCUUCAUUGUGUUUAAAUAUGGAAAGUACCUUCUUUAACUAAGCGAACAACCUUUUGUCGAUUGCCGCGCUCAUAAUUUUUUUGCAAUAGUUUGGUUUUAUUACUGUUGGUGGCAGGUACGACAAACUUGUCGGCAUGUUCAGUAACAAGCAAGUCCCCACUGUUGGCGUUGAUCUUGGAAUAGAAAGAGUUUUCGCAAUCAUUGAGCAACAUGAGAAAGAAAAUAACCAGGUUAUCCGGGCUAGCGUGACAGAGGUUUUGGUGUCGAUUCUAGGGAAGGACCUUAUAUUGGCCGCCGAGCUUGCGAAUGAGUUAUGGAGUGCUGGGAUAAAGGCAGAGUUCAAGCUCACCACCAGGGAGCUGGACCACAUAAAGUAUGUGACUCAGACAGGCAUUCCGUGGAUGGUGCUGGUCGGUCAAGGCGAACUUGAAAUGUGGCCACCUUUGUAUGGCCAAUGGCUUUGUAGGCUUUCAGUAUUUGGCGUCUGUCGCCGGGUUUGUUCCGCCUCAACCAGGAUCUUCUCGGCACUGCUCUGAUGUUGUGAAAACUCACGCACGCCGACAGCCGCCUCCAUGCUCCAGCUGCCGCAGCCUGCAGUUCAAGAAGUUAGCUCAGGCUUAUGAGGUUAUGAAUGAUCCUGAGAAGCUGGGAGGUCGAGGACUGCAUGAUCUAUUGGACAUCUUCCGGUCAUUCUGUGUAUAAGAUAGCUAUAUAAUAGUUCUAUUCCAUGACUAUGGUCAUUCUGUGUAGAUUUUGUCAUAUUGGAAUUAAAAAAUGAACAAAAACAAUUUUUUUAGGAUUGAGGGUUGAUUCUCUGAGAUUUCACAUGGAUAAUUGGAUUUUGGGUACAUAUAUACUUUCAGCGAUGCCAUGAUUUUGGUUAACUCCAGGUUAUAAUUUCAAUGAUGCUUUAUGAGGAUCUUAAGAUUUGUCCGUGGUGGCUUUUUCUUACCGGUAAUGCUCUUUUAUUUAUGUUCCAGACUAUGGUUUUCUUAUCAAGAUCAAGGGUAUUGAAAAGAAAAUUCUUAGGUGGAUUUGUACACUGUGUGUACAUAGGGUAGUACUUUUGAUAUUUAUGGACUACCUUGAUCCUGUCUUGAAUGGUCUAUAUGGGAUUGCCCCCCUAUCUGCAGGUGAAUUCGGCAUUUUACAAACUUGACUUGUGUGCUUCCAUAAUCGAUAUUCCUGAUUGAUUGCGUGAAGAAACUGAUUCAUGUGUUGAAUGGACCUCAGAGAAUUAUGGAUAUGGGUGACUACUUGACUCUUGCCUUGGUUUGCGUUAAGUGUGUCGUACUGUCCUUUGAAUUUGCAAAUUCCGAGACACUCAGCCAUUACAUGCAUUGUCCUAGCAGGAACAUGACUUGGGACAGGUCACGCGCGGCAAGUUGCCCUUCCUAUGUCAUGAAUCUUAAUGCUUUGUACUGAAUUGUAUGCAAACCAGUUAUUUGCCUGGCUUGUGUUAUAUCGUAAAUCUUGAUGUCUUAUACUAAAUCUACUGGACCACUCCUGAAUACUAAUAUAGAUAUUAUGCUUCAUAUUAAAUAUUGA